UACGUAGGGUGCAAGCGUUGUCCGGAAUUACUGGGCGUAAAGAGCUCGUAGGCGGUUUGUCGCGUCGUCUGUGAAAACCAGCAGCUCAACUGUUGGCUUGCAGGCGAUACGGGCAGACUUGAGUAUUUCAGGGGAGACUGGAAUUCCUGGUGUAGCGGUGAAAUGCGCAGAUAUCAGGAGGAACACCGGUGGCGAAGGCGGGUCUCUGGGCAGUAACUGACGCUGAGGAGCGAAAGCGUGGGUAGCGAACAGG
rnacentral:rRNA from 1 species